UGAAGCUUUAUAGAAGAGUUGUUAAUUUUAACACACCGACGGAGUCGCACUCUCAGGUACUUUUUCUAAAGUAGGACUGUAAAGU
rnacentral:ncRNA from 1 species